CGCCGCCCUGCCAGCCCGGUAGUUUUGCGUGGCAGGCGCGCCCGGCUCCUCCUGCUGCCGCCGCGCUCUGCGGCGCCUGGGCCAACCAGCGAGGAAGGAGGGAGGAGCGGCAGGCCCGGGAAGGAGGGUGGGUGCGUGCGUGGGACGCCCGGGGUCCCUAGGGAGCAGGCGUGGUAGGGCGCCCAGCGCUGCGGCAGGAGCUGGGGCGGCCUCUCCGGGAACCCUGAGUCCCGCCCCACAGCCUUCCACUGGAGUCUGUCUCGCUUUCCACGCCUCACUCAUGCUAGGGCUUUGGGUUAAGGGUUUUCUUCUGUCCCUAACCCAGAGAGGCGGAGCCACUGCCCUCCUGGGCGCGGACUUCAUCCUGCACGUCUCCCUCUCCGUUCUCCACACCAGCUAUUUCCAGCGCCGGCACCUGCAGAACGGGUGCCCUUUCAAGUCGGGGGAAGCUGAUCCUGCCUUGGGUCCCUCUUGCUCGGCUACUCAGGCUGGGAUGUGCCAGCAGCCGCGAAAGCCUGAAGCUUCUGGGAGGAGAGAAAGGAGUCCUGGGGCAGAACAUGGCUUUGGAAACUUUCACGCGGAGCCUCCAGUGCCCCCACAGGGAUUAUUCUCCUCUUCGAGUCGCUGGAGGUGAUUUGUCUGUGGACACUGGGCUUGGGAGUGUUCCCUGCACAAGGAGAUGGUGAUUUCUCUUAGAACUUUACUUCUGCUCCUUGGGACUUGCUCUGUGACCACAGGCCCUGGAGCAUGGAGGCUUGGGGCAGUGAUUAGAACUGAGAACCGGACCCGGGAGCCGCUCUGGGGAGAAAGUGGGCGGUCCAUCCCCUAAGGUCCAACGGAUUGGAAAGGCAAACACAGGAGAAACUAGUCAUGGACACAAAUGAUCUCAAAUUGAACAAAAG
rnacentral:lncRNA from 10 species